rnacentral:rRNA from 1 species
AUUGAACGCUGGCGGCAUGCUUUACACAUGCAAGUCGAACGGUAACAGGUCUUCGGAUGCUGACGAGUGGCGAACGGGUGAGUAAUGCAUCGGAACGUGCCCAGUCGUGGGGGAUAACGCAGCGAAAGCUGUGCUAAUACCGCAUACGAUCUAUGGAUGAAAGCGGGGGACCGUAAGGCCUCGCGCGAUUGGAGCGGCCGAUGUCAGAUUAGGUAGUUGGUGGGGUAAAGGCCCACCAAGCCAACGAUCUGUAGCUGGUCUGAGAGGACGACCAGCCACACUGGGACUGAGACACGGCCCAGACUCCUACGGGAGGCAGCAGUGGGGAAUUUUGGACAAUGGGCGCAAGCCUGAUCCAGCAAUGCCGCGUGCAGGAAGAAGGCCUUCGGGUUGUAAACUGCUUUUGUACGGAACGAAAAGGCUCUGGUUAAUACCUGGGGCACAUGACGGUACCGUAAGAAUAAGCACCGGCUAACUACGUGCCAGCAGCCGCCGUAAUAC